CCCAAAAAAGAUAUCACAGAGGACAGAGUUCGUUGAACCUGGACCCUAUUUCCCUAUGUUUUUCAGUCUAAGUGACUGACGGGAACAACAACCUUUGACAUUUUUCCAGUUUUUAAGCUGCAGUCGGCAGUGGCAAG